GCCUCACAAGCACAAGGUCCUGAGUUUGAUCCCCAGUACCAAAAAUAUAAAUACUGAUAUAGAUAUAUAGAUAUAUAUAGAUAUACAUAUAUACUGAUUAACAACAUUUUCUGAUACUCCCUGCAACUACCACUGCUUUAAACAAAUUAAUAAUAGUGGCAAAAAUCCUUUCAAAUAGCUACAGGUUUUAUAAUACUUUUUUUCAGAGUAAUUUGAACACAGAAAAAUAGUUUUUAUGUGCCUUACAGGUAUACAAUAUGCCUAUCUUUUGACUAAACAUUCUUUUUCUUUUUUGGUACUAGGGAUUGAACUUGGGACCUUGCACUUUCAAGGCAGGUAGUGGAAGCACUGAGCUAAAUCCCCAGUCCCUUGCCUAUUUUUUGAGAUAAAUGGAUACAACAUUAUGGCCAGUUAGUGGACAUAACAAAUAUUAUUUUCCAAGAGUUCAGAAAUGCUUUUCAAAUAUGAUAGACUUAAGAAGAUUCUACUUUAAGAUAACUUUUUUGUAUUUCUUAGUCUUUGUUGUUUAUUGUAUUGCUUUUGGUUAGUUUCUACCACAGAUAUUGAACCUGUAAUUCUGAGAACCACAGCUCCAGUGACAACAUUAGCUCCAAAAAUAACACAACGAACAAGAACUCAUCGUCCACGGCCCAAACAUAAAAGCACAUUAAGCCCAAAGAUACCUCACACUAAACCAGAUUUUGGACCUAUUACUCCUGGACCAUCUUUAGCUCCAACAAAAAGUACCCACCAUCCACAUCCCAAAUCUAAACCCACGUCCCAUCCAGAAGUACUUCAGACAAUACUAGUUCCUGCCACAAUUGCUGAACCAGUUAUUCUUAGAACCGAGGCUCCAGGAACAACACUAGUUUCUGAUGUUAUGGAACCAGCUACAUUAAAUACUGAGUCACCAAAGGAGACUAUAGCUGUGGAAUCUGUAACACUUGUGUCUGAACCUCCUGAGAUCACACUAGGUAAUGACGGUCUCAGCAACCCAGCCCACGCGCUUGCCGUCCCCAUUGCACCAUCACCUGCCAACAUCAGGGCCUCUCUUGUGAAUUCACGUUGCGCCAUCAUCGUUGUCACACAGUUAAUUUUCUUCUAG
rnacentral:lncRNA from 1 species